CCCGGCCGGCCGGUGAUGGACGCCGGCGACGGAGGUCUCCUCUCCACGGAUCAGUGAUGGAGUGCGUGCUUAUUUUGCUCUCAAUGGAUCAAGCAUAUCCACUGGAUCCAUGCGGUGUUGGAGGAGAUGAUGCGGUUCGUGUACUCCCUUCUGUGUGUAUGUGUAGUUGGUGCAAUAGCUAGAGU